CCUGCAGUGGGUACGGGCAGACUAGAGUGCGGUAGGGGAGAUUGGAAUUCCUGGUGUAGCGGUGGAAUGCGCAGAUAUCAGGAGGAACACCGAUGGCGAAGGCAGAUCUCUGGGCCGUAACUGACGCUGAGGAGCGAAAGGGUGGGGAACAAACAGGCUUAGAUACCCUGGUAGUCCACCCCGUAAACGUUGGGAACUAGUUGUGGGGACCAUUCCACGGUUUCCGUGACGCAGCUAACGCAUUAAGUUCCCCGCCUGGGGAGUACGGCCGCAAGGCUAAAACUCAAAGGAAUUGACGGGGACCCGCACAAGCGGCGGAGCAUGCGGAUUAAUUCGAUGCAACGCGAAGAACCUUACCAAGGCUUGACAUACACCAGAACGGGCCAGAAAUGGUCAACUCUUUGGACACUGGUGAACAGGUGGUGCAUGGUUGUCGUCAGCUCGUGUCGUGAGAUGUUGGGUUAAGUCCCGCAACGAGCGCAACCCUCGUUCUAUGUUGCCAGCACGUAAUGGUGGGAACUCAUGGGAUACUGCCGGGGUCAACUCGGAGGAAGGUGGGGAUGACGUCAAAUCAUCAUGCCCCUUAUGUCUUGGGCUUCACGCAUGCUACAAUGGCCGGUACAAAGGGCUGCAAUACCGUGAGGUGGAGCGAAUCCCAAAAAGCCGGUCCCAGUUCGGAUUGAGGUCUGCAAC
rnacentral:rRNA from 1 species